rnacentral:rRNA from 1 species
AACGCUAGCUACAGGCUUAACACAUGCAAGUCGAGGGGCAGCAUGAUUGAAGCUUGCUUCAAUUGAUGGCGACCGGCGCACGGGUGAGUAACACGUAUCCAACCUUCCGUACACUCAGGGAUAGCCUUUCGAAAGAAAGAUUAAUACCUGAUGGUAUCUUAAGCACACAUGUAAUUAAGAUUAAAGAUUUAUCGGUGUACGAUGGGGAUGCGUUCCAUUAGAUAGUAGGCGGGGUAACGGCCCACCUAGCCUACGAUGGAUAGGGGUUCUGAGAGGAAGGUCCCCCACAUUGGAACUGAGACACGGUCCAAACUCCUACGGGAGGCAGCAGUGAGGAAUAUUGGUCAAUGGACGAGAGUCUGAACCAGCCAAGUAGCGUGAAGGAUGACUGCCCUAUGGGUUGUAAACUUCUUUUAUACGGGAAUAAAGUAUUCCACGUGUGGAAUUUUGUAUGUACCGUAUGAAUAAGGAUCGGCUAACUCCGUGCCAGCAGCCGCGGUAAUACGGAGGAUCCGAGCGUUAUCCGGAUUUAUUGGGUUUAAAGGGAGCGUAGGUGGAAGAUUAAGUCAGCCUGUGAAAGUUUGCGGCUCAACCGUAAAAUUGCAGUUGAUACUGGUUUUCUUGAGUGCAGUAGAGGUGGGCGGAAUUCGUGGUGUAGCGGUGAAAUGCUUAGAUAUCACGAAGAACUCCGAUUG